GGUCUGUUGGCAGAAUUGGCAUUGCGUCUGACUACGAAGCUACUCGUUUGAGUAAUCAGUACGACAUCAGGAGAUUCUGGGUUCGAUCCCCAGGCAGACCU
rnacentral:tRNA from 1 species